AACCAUCCACGUUAAAUUUUUGGACAAUUAGUGUGAAAGAAGCCCAAAUUUCUGAUAUAGAAACUUUUUACAAAGGGUUCAGAUUCGACCCUGAAGACACCAGGAGGGACAAAUAAGUCUCUGUCUGCAGG